GUGCUCACUUUGGCAGCACAGAUACUAACACUGGAAUGAUACAGAGAAGAUUAGCAUGGCCCUGCGCAAGUAUGACAUGCAAAUUCAUGACAUGUUGCAUAUUUUU